GCUGGCGGCAGGCCUAACACAUGCAAGUCGAACGGCAGCACAGCAGUAGCAAUACUGUGGGUGGCGAGUGGCGGACGGGUGAGGAAUGCAUCGGAAUCUGCCUAUUUGUGGGGGAUAACGUAGGGAAACUUACGCUAAUACCGCAUACGUCCUACGGGAGAAAGUGGGGGACCUUCGGGCCUCACGCAGAUAGAUGAGCCGAUGCCGGAUUAGCUAGUUGGCGGGGUAAAGGCCCACCAAGGCGACGAUCCGUAGCUGGUCUGAGAGGAUGAUCAGCCACACUGGAACUGAGACACGGUCCAGACUCCUACGGGAGGCAGCAGUGGGGAAUAUUGGACAAUGGGCGCAAGCCUGAUCCAGCCAUGCCGCGUGUGUGAAGAAGGCCUUCGGGUUGUAAAGCACUUUUGUCCGGAAAGAAAAGCUUCGGGUUAAUAACCCGGGGUUAUGACGGUACCGGAAGAAUAAGCACCGGCUAACUUCGUGCCAGCAGCCGCGGUAAUACGAAGGGUGCAAGCGUUACUCGGAAUUACUGGGCGUAAAGCGUGCGUAGGUGGUUUGUUAAGUCUGAUGUGAAAGCCCUGGGCUCAACCUGGGAACUGCAUUGGAAACUGGCUGACUAGAGUGCGGUAGAGGGGUGUGGAAUUCCCGGUGUAGCAGUGAAAUGCGUAGAUAUCGGGAGGAACAUCUGUGGCGAAGGCGACACCCUGGACCAGCACUGACACUGAGGCACGAAAGCGUGGGAGCAAACAGGAUUAGAUACCCUGGUAGUCCACGCCCUAAACGAUGCGAACUGGAUGUUGGGGGCAACUUGGCCCUCAGUAUCGAAGCUAACGCGUUAAGUUCGCCGCCUGGGAAGUACGGGUCGCAAGACUGAAACUCAAAGGAAUUGACGGGGGCCCGCACAAGCGGUGGAGUAUGUGGUUUAAUUCGAUGCAACGCGAAGAACCUUACCUGNNNCUUGACAUGCACGGAACUUUNCAGAGAUGGAUUGGUGCCCUNGGNACCCGUGACACAGNGCUGCAUGNUGUCGUCAGCUCGUGUCGUGANAUGUUGGG
rnacentral:rRNA from 1 species